CCUACGGGGGGCUGCAGUGGGAAAUAUUGGACAAUGGGGGCAACCCUGAUCCAGCCAUGCCGCGUGUGUGAAGAAGGCCCUCGGGUUGUAAAGCACUUUCAGUGAGGAAGAACGCCUGGUGGUUAAUACCCAUCAGGAAAGACAUCACUCACAGAAGAAGCACCGGCUAACUCCGUGCCAGCAGCCGCGGUAAUACGGAGGGUGCGAGCGUUAAUCGGAAUUACUGGGCGUAAAGCGCGCGUAGGUGGCUUGAUAAGCCGGUUGUGAAAGCCCCGGGCUCAACCUGGGAACGGCAUCCGGAACUGUCAAGCUAGAGUGCAGGAGAGGAAGGUAGAAUUCCCGGUGUAGCGGUGAAAUGCGUAGAGAUCGGGAGGAAUACCAGUGGCGAAGGCGGCCUUCUGGACUGACACUGACACUGAGGUGCGAAAGCGUGGGUAGCAAACAGGAUUAGAUACCCGUGUAGUC
rnacentral:rRNA from 1 species